AAAGGGAAGAGGUUUGUCACGUACCCCCAUAGGAGGUCGCUCCACCUUUUCUCUGGAGUGGCAAUUGAUGCUGGCGGGCGCUGGCUGCUGGCGGUUGAGCUCCGGCUGUGGCUCAGUGGAUGGGGCGCGGUUCUUUGCCAACACCUAUUGCCAAAAAGGAGGCGGUUCGCUGGCAUGCCGGUCUUCCAUGGCAUGCCUCGGCCUAACCCUCCCCAAACCAUGGUACUCCCGUGGCCCACUAAAUCGGAGUACCCCAAAAGCUUACUCACCUGUUCAUUACAACAUUCCUUCCCCUUUCUUUAGUCUCCUAUCCCUUCAUGGGAAAGAAAAAAAACCAAAAAUAUUUCAUUCUAACAUUCGUACAAAAUUCGGCACUGCUUUAUUUGGAGGUCACAACCUCCCUGAUACUCUCAAUUUUGACAUUUAUAACUAAACUUGUAAUGACCAAAGAAAAGGUUCCUGGUUCUAAUAGCGACUGUUCCGGAUAAAUGCCAAUGGAGUCCCCGGGUAUUGUGGUCCUGGUGGCAGCCUCUGCGGCCAAUAGGGUCCCUUUUAGGUUCUCGUUUGUCCGUCCGUCCGUCUAGUCUUUGGGGUUUUCUGAUGUGCUGCUUUCUCAGCACCGUAAGGUCAACAUUGGCUGAUGGGCAAGGAAAUAUCCUCUACUAUCCACUACCUAACCUAACUAUGAGCUCAUGCUUAGGUUACUCUAUAGAACCCAACCAAAGGAAAAAACUUUUUUUUAACAAAAAUAAAUCCGUCGAGAGUCAACCGUCUGUAUGCCUGUCUGUUUAUGGUCAGAGAAAUUUUUGGACUACCUUAUGGACACUGGGGUAUGCGACAGCGUCUAGGUCCCUCGGUGGAGUAGCGACAGGAGUUGUGGAUAUGCCAAUUGCAGCAGCUGAAGUCUUUUAUACGUGUGGCAGUGGAGGUGGAGGUGUCUUGACUUUCGCUUUUAUUUUUAGACUUAAGUUUUUAGCUUUAAAUUUUACAUUAUAUGAUUUGAUUUCUUUUCUAUUUCUUUUCAGUGUUUUCUUCUUUAAUAAAUCUUUCUUUUUCUUUUACAGGUUUUUUUUUACAGCUUUACUU